AUUGAACGCUGGCGGCAUGCCUUACACAUGCAAGUCGAACGGUAACGGGCCUUCGGGUGCCGACGAGUGGCGAACGGGUGAGUAAUACAUCGGAACGUGCCCGAUCGUGGGGGAUAACGAGGCGAGAGCUUUGCUAAUACCGCAUACGAUCUACGGAUGAAAGCAGGGGACCGCAAGGCCUUGCGCGGACGGAGCGGCCGAUGGCAGAUUAGGUAGUUGGUGGGAUAAAAGCUUACCAAGCCGACGAUCUGUAGCUGGUCUGAGAGGAUGAUCAGCCACACUGGGACUGAGACACGGCCCAGACUCCUACGGGAGGCAGCAGUGGGGAAUUUUGGACAAUGGGCGCAAGCCUGAUCCAGCCAUGCCGCGUGCAGGAUGAAGGCCUUCGGGUUGUAAACUGCUUUUGUACGGAACGAAAAGCCUUCUUUUAAUACAGGAGGGUCAUGACGGUACCGUAAGAAUAAGCACCGGCUAACUACGUG
rnacentral:rRNA from 1 species